GAUGAACGCUAGCGGCAGGCUUAACACAUGCAAGUCGAGGGGUAACAGGGAUUGCUUGCAAUCCGCUGACGACCGGCGCACGGGUGCGUAACGCGUAUGCAACCUACCUUUUACUGGGGAAUAGUCAAGAGAAAUUUUGAAUAAUACCCCAUACGAUCUGAUUCACUCCUGUGAAACAGAAGAAAAUUCCGAUGGUAAAAGAUGGGCAUGCGUCCUAUUAGUUUGUUGGUGAGGUAACGGCUCACCAAGACUACGAUAGGUAGGGGUCCUGAGAGGGAGAUCCCCCACACUGGUACUGAGACACGGACCAGACUCCUACGGGAGGCAGCAGUGAGGAAUAUUGGACAAUGGAGGCAACUCUGAUCCAGCCAUGCCGCGUGCAGGAAGACGGCCCUAUGGGUUGUAAACUGCUUUUAUACUAGGAAGAAACGUUAGUACGUGUACUAGCCUGACGGUACUGUAAGAAUAAGGAUCGGCUAACUCCGUGCCUGCG
rnacentral:rRNA from 1 species